GAUGAACGCUGACAGAAUGCUUAACACAUGCAAGUCGAUGGGGAAGUGGUGCUUGCACCAUGGUAACCAUGGCGGACGGGUGAGUAACGCGUAAGGAACUUGCCUGCGGGACUGGGAUAACAGCAGGAAACUGCUGACAAGACCGGAUAAGGUCAUUAAGCGGCAUGGUUUAAUGAUGAAAGGAGACGCCUGCGGAGAGCCUUGCGUCCUAUUAGCUAGUUGGAGGGGUAACGGCCCACCAAGGCGAAGAUAGGUAGCCGGCCUGAGAGGGUGGACGGCCACAAGGGGACUGAGAUACGGCCCUUACUCCUACGGGAGGCAGCAGUGGGGAAUAUUGGACAAUGGGGGCAACCCUGAUCCAGCAAUUCUGUGUGCACGAAGACGGUUUUCGGAUUGUAAAGUGCUUUCAGCAGGGAAGAAGGAAGUGACGGUACCUGCAGAAGAAGCGACGGCUAAAUACGUGCCAGCAGCCGCGGUAAUACGUAUGUCGCGAGCGUUAUCCGGAAUUAUUGGGCAUAAAGGGCAUCUAGGCGGCCUUUCAAGUCAGGGGCGAA
rnacentral:rRNA from 1 species